rnacentral:lncRNA from 1 species
UUCUCAUUUAUAGAACCCUAGAUGCAAAUUCCUCUAGCUCAAAAUAUAGCUGCUCGCACACAAAAUAGAAAACAACAUCACAACUCGCAAGCCUUUCUGAACGGCAACCUAAGCACAUAGGUACUUAUUUCUUUUGAAUUUACUAGUCGAUUAUUGUUUUGAGACAAAUUGAUCAAUUUUGGUUGUUAACAGGUCAAGCCCAAUCGAUUUGGAUACAAUUAUUCAAUGUUCUAUAAUAUUUUUUUAUGAAACAAAUUGGUCAAUUUUUGGUUGUUAAGGUGUCAAGCUCAAUCAAAUUAGCACAAAUAUGAUAAUUAUUAUUAUUAUCUUUAUUUGUUAAUUUUAAUAACAUAAUGACAAUUUUCAUGUCUUAAAACUUUUCCUUACAUCUUAAAACUUUUCCUUACAGAUGCAAGCAAAUUCAUUUAGUAAUGCUAGAGGAGGUAAUAUCUCUGCACCUCCAAGAACUCAAAGUGUUACUAAUACACAAAUGAGCUAGAGAAGAGGAGGGAGAGUUUCAAAAGUAUGGGAACAUUACGCAAAAAUUGAGAAUGAUACAAAAUGUAAGUCUGACUACUGAUAUAAAGUGUAUGUGUAUCAUUCUAGACUUAUUGGGAUUCGUACUUCAUCAAAUCACUUGUUAAUAUGUACAGUCUAUGUUGAUAUGAAAUUUGAUUCAAAACAAAAUCCCUUUGUUUUUUAGGAUAACAUGACCAAUGGUAGCGGUAGUCUUUUGGCAAUGUCUUGUAGCAAAAAAGAACUUAGAAAAGCAUGCAUUGAAAUGAUCAUUGAUGAAUUGACUUUUAGUUUUAUUGAGAAAGAAGGGUUUUAGAAACCUAUAAGUAAAGCAUGUCCAAAACUUGAUCAUUUUUCUAGGAGAAUUGUUGCUAGAGAUAUGUAUCCAUUGCACUUUGGGUAUAUAGAAUAUGGUAGCAUACCAACUGUUUGAUUAUUUGUGUGAAAGAAAUAUAUUCAGUUUGCUUUCUUUGAUACUGAAAUCAUUUGCUAGCACACACACAUAAUUUAAAUGCUAAGUUUAAUUUUAUUAUCAUUUUUUUAAUAUAAGGAUUUGGUUUUAUUAUCAUUUUUUUAAUAUAACGAUUUGUCUUUUACUUAUAAGGGCACAUGAGUUCAAGAGGAAGAAGUUGAAGAACUUUUUUUAAAGUUAAAAUUUCUUUUCUUUUAUCAAAUUUUCAAUCAAUUUGUUUUAGUUGUACAUUUUUCAUUUUGUCGAAAUAUAACUUCUUCAUUGUUUAAGUGUUGUGUAUGCAUUGGCUUCAAAUUUUAUGGAUUGCCACUUGAUAAUUUGACAGUACAAAUUCUUGUAUUCAUAAUUGUAUUUCAUGAAUGGAAG